rnacentral:rRNA from 1 species
UACGUAGGGGCCGAGCGUUGUCCGGAUUCAUUGGGCGUAAAGAGCGUGUAGGCGGCCGCUUAAGUCCUGCGUGAAAUCUCGGAGCUCAACUCCAAGCGGUCGUGGGAAACUGGGCGGCUAGAGUGCGGGAGAGGAGAGUGGAAUUCCUGGUGUAGCGGUGGAAUGCGCAGAUAUCAGGAAGAACACCCGUGGCGAAGGCGGCUCUCUGGAACGCAACUGACGCUGAGACGCGAAAGCGUGGGGAGCAAACAGG